rnacentral:rRNA from 1 species
CGACGUAGGUAACCUACCUAUUAGAGGGGGAUAACUAUUGGAAACGAUAGCUAAUACCGCAUAACAGUAUGUAACACAUGUUAGAUGCUUGAAAGAUGCAAUUGCAUCGCUAGUAGAUGGACCUGCGUUGUAUUAGCUAGUAGGUAGGGUAAAGGCCUACCUAGGCAACGAUACAUAGCCGACCUGAGAGGGUGAUCGGCCACACUGGGACUGAGACACGGCCCAG